GCUGGCGUCAUUGUGUAGGUUGAUGCUUUUCUGUGAAUGAGCCGCGAUCCCCGUUACUACGAGCCAGACCCUAUAAAAGCUCCGCGGGCUGCGGCCGCAGUGGCAGCGGCUCGGGCUCUGCGGGCGGCGCGGGAGGAGCCGGCGCGGGAGGAGCCGGCGGCGGCGGCCCGGCCCGGCCCGGCCCGGCCAGCGUACAAAGCUGCUCUUGUAGCUGAAGCUAAUGUAGUGAAGCAUGUUAGCGGCAGCACCACUGAGGCAUGUCAGCGGGACAGCUGCCCCUGCAGAGAGCUCAGCACAGCAAGUUCUUGUACAUCAGCAAAACUUCCCAAGAUCAAAAUCCAGACACAUCUGAUCUUGGCAGAAACUCCCCCAGCUGCAUCUCUGCUGAGGCAGAAACCUCCAUGAAGCCCAGGCUAAGCAGGUGUGGAAAGGAGCAGCCCAGUCCUGUCGUCCUGCACUUGUGAGAGACACUCUGAACUGUGGACUUUCUCUUCUGGGCCCUUGGGCCUCUUCCUGUCUGGCAACAGGUGCCCAGCUCUGGUGCAGACAUGCAGGGUUCGUACCUUUCUGCAGCCCCAACCUCCUAGGGCAUGGACCUAGAAAGCGCAUGCAGAGGCUGAACCUGAACCCAGCCUUAGGCUGGUUAUUCCAGGCAGGAGCAUGGCCACCAACCUGCCCUGUCACAGAAGGAGAAUUUAGCAGCAGGGAGUGAGAAGAGCAGAUGGGGUGGUGAGCCUGGAACCAGGGCAGGCCUUGUGAAGCAGGGUCUCCCUCAACUCCUGCUGUUCCAGCCUGGGCUCCCCCACCAUGCAGGUUUGCCGGUGCCCCUGUGUGAGAACAUUUGCGGCACAUUGCGCUGAGCUGCAAGAAGACCCCUGUUGUGCAGCGAAAAAUACAGCUGCAAGGUGAGCGGAGGCCCGCGGCACUGUGCAACCUAGCCAAGUCGCACUGUCUCUGGCUGUGGUGCAGCCAAGUGGCCUUUGUGCCCCAGGGGCUUGCACGUUUAGCUGCUAGGUGGGGCUGUCUGACCCCUGCCAGAGCCAGUAGAUUGCAAGAAGCGGACAUGGGCAGGUGUAGAACUAGGGGGAGCUAUGAUGGCCUGUGCUCUUCCUCCAGCCAGUGCCAUGUCUCCACCUCCCAGGCCAUGGGACUCCCUGCUGGGGGCCGUCCGAACCGAGUCUCCACCGCGGAGCAGCCACUGUGAGAGGUUCUGUCCUGUGCCCCAGCCUCUGCCUGGGGGGAGCUUUACUGCCUGCUCUUCCGGGGCAGGGGAGAGCUGUUGUUUCCACUCCUUCCCCCUAUCUCUGAGAGCUGCAGGUUACAGUGAACACGUGCACCCAGCACUGGGAUUUAACAGGCCCGGGAGCAGCUGAGCUGGCCUGAGUGUGAAGGGUAAAAUGAAGAUGAGCUGGGUGCUACCUGCCCUGGUGUGAAAAGGGAGGUGCGGGAGGGCUGACCCUGCUGGGCUGUGAUGCAGGUGCUGGGAGUCCUUUUCUCCUCCUGCACUGACUGAGCCUGCCUUGUCCCUGUCACCAUGGUACCAACUUCUUCUACCCACACCCCCAUGUCUCCAGGGCAA